AUUGAACGCUGGCGGCAUGCCUUACACAUGCAAGUCGAACGGUAACAGGUCUUCGGAUGCUGACGAGUGGCGAACGGGUGAGUAAUACAUCGGAACGUGCCUAGUAGUGGGGGAUAACUACUCGAAAGAGUGGCUAAUACCGCAUGAGAUCUACGGAUGAAAGCAGGGGAUCGCAAGACCUUGUGCUACUAGAGCGGCCGAUGGCAGAUUAGGUAGUUGGUGGGAUAAAAGCUUACCAAGCCGACGAUCUGUAGCUGGUCUGAGAGGACGAUCAGCCACACGGGGACUGAGACACGGCCCAGACUCCUACGGGAGGCAGCAGUGGGGAAUUUUGGACAAUGGGCGCAAGCCUGAUCCAGCAAUGCCGCGUGCGGAUGAAGGCCUUCGGGUUGUAAGCUGCUUUAGUACGGAACGAGAAGCCCUGGGUUAAUACCCUGGGGUCAUGACGGUACCGUAAGAAUAAGCACCGGCUAACUACGUGCCAGCAGCCGCCGUAAUAC
rnacentral:rRNA from 1 species